rnacentral:rRNA from 1 species
AAUAGAUACCCCGGUAGUCCACGCCGUAAACGAUGAGUGCUAAGUGUUGGGGGGGUUUCCGCCCCUCAGUGCUGCAGCUAACGCAUUAAGCACUCCGCCUGGGGAGUACGGUCGCAAGACUGAAACUCAAAGGAAUUGACGGGGGCCCGCACAAGCGGUGGAGCAUGUGGUUUAAUUCGAAGCAACGCGAAGAACCUUACCAGGUCUUGACAUCCCGGUGACCACUAUGGAGACAUAGUUUCCCCUUCGGGGGCAACGGUGACAGGUGGUGCAUGGUUGUCGUCAGCUCGUGUCGUGAGAUGUUGGGUUAAGUCCCGCAACGAGCGCAACCCUUAUUCUUAGUUGCCAUCAUUCAGUUGGGCACUCUAAGGAGACUGCCGGUGAUAAACCGGAGGAAGGUGGGGAUGACGUCAAAUCAUCAUGCCCCUUAUGACCUGGGCUACACACGUGCUACAAUGGACGGUACAAACGGUUGCCAACCCGCGAGGGGGAGCUAAUCCGAUAAAACCGUUCUCAGUUCGGAUUGUAGGCUGCAACUCGCCUACA